rnacentral:tRNA from 2 species
AGGGGCGUCGCCAAGCGGUAAGGCACUGGAUUUUGAUUCCAGCAUUCACAGGUUCGAUCCCUGUCGCCCCUGCCA